rfam:Schistosoma mansoni strain Puerto Rico chromosome W, complete genome
AUCCUGUUGACGAGUUCCAGAUGGAACGAAACGCACGUCCUGGAA